ACUUGACUAAAUAUAUCUGUUUUUUGUGAACCACAGACAGCACAACACGUUUUCCUGCUCCGCAAAGCCAAAAUAAAUUUCCUUCGUGGACAUGAAUAAUUCAUACGCAACUGAGCCAUUUUGCCAAACUGCUCGAGAAUCUGCACGAGUCUCUCUCCUCCCCGGUUUAACGCCAUAUUGGGACAUAAAUCGGGCAGAGGCUUCCGCUAUUUUUUCCUUCCCCUCGCCCGCGCGCCGAUUUUCAGCGGUUGGCUUCAUACCAG